GUUUUUACGUCGAAAUGACUUCUUUUCUUCCAACUAUUUAUCUACAAUAUCAUGUUUUAAAGCUAGUAUUAGCAGCUAAUCAAUGCAUCUGGACAGCCCAAUCUCACAAGACACAACACUUUGGCAACAAACGUAUAACCAUCAACUCAAUGGUGUUAUUCCGACUUUCUCAAUUCUAACUGUAUUCAACCAGCAUAGAUUAUCAUAUACAUGAUGUAUACAGCCUAUAUUAGUUCUAUAACAUGCUGGCAACAGUCCAUAACUACAACACAUAACCAUUUUACAAAACGCUCAACUAAGAAGCACAACAUCUCGUCGUCUCCCUACAUUUCGUCGUUAACAAUUCAUACUUGUCCCAACUUUGAACCAGAUGCUCCCAACAUAUAUAUACAUCAAAUAAACCUUAACAUAGUCACAAAAUAGCUCAAAACGUAGGGGAAACGUGAAACAACAUCCCCCUCAACAAAACAGUCCAAUACCAGUUUGGAAGCACAUAAGAUCAUAUAAGGAUACUUGUUUCCAAAGAACUAGCAAAACAGUCCAGCAACCUUGGCAACCAUAUACACACUAUAACAUGUUAAUAACCUCAACUUUACAUCAUAUUAAAGUGAAAAAUCAGGGUAAAAAUCGUUCCAAAGCCAAGAAAACCAAACAACAACUUUCAGGACACAAGCUGUCCAGAAAUUCCUGCACAGUGAACCAGCCAACUUAUCUUGUUUUCCAUGGAAAAUUCAUAUCAAGUAUAUGGUUAUUUUUACAUACCUUAACUCCCAAGGUGUAGGUCUAAUUCAAGAACUCAAAAAGUAGCCUUUGGUUGCCUUCCAAGGUGAAGAAAUACCAAGAGAAACUUAGAGAGAAAUUCUGAAAUUUUUUGGUCUUUUCUUUGGUUAACCUAGAGCUCGGUUUUGGUCCCUUUUUAAGGAGACUUUAGACCGACUUUCUCCUAAUAUUUGUAGCUGAUUAACUCAAGUUGGUCAAUGACUAAAGCUGAUUAACUCAAAUUGGUCAAUGACUAAUUUUCCCCUUUCACUUGGGCCUUUUGGAUCUCUAAAUCAAUGGGCUUUAGUGGCCCAUUUCCUUAAUCUUUCUUGCACUUUGUUUGGGCCCAAUCUUGUUAAUAGUGAAUGAAUGUAGUUGGGCCUAUUAUAUAAAAAUCUUGUGCUGAACAUCUUGGCCCAAUAUAAUGUUAAACCAUUGGCUUAAAUAGCCUCCCUAACUUGGGCUUCGUUUGUCACAAGACUUGGAAAGUUUCGGCGUUAAGCCUUGUCUUCGUUCCCCUUUCUUUUUACUAACGUCUAGACUUCAAGUGAGUUCACUUAUGAAUGAAUUCUUCUCCCUCAUGUAUAUAUAAUUUUUAAGCUAAGCACACAGGUGACUCACCUGCUAGCUCCCUAAGUUCCAUAAGCAUGUCAAUGAUUUUCUCCGUUUAAGGCCACAGUCUCUAAAUAGACUUCCAUAUAGUGCCCCAAUCUAACACUUGAACACUUGAAAAAUUUUGGUAGUAAUUAAAUCAAGUCGUAUGUCAUUUUAUGUGAACAUUACUAGUACAUGUAAAAUGUGGGGUGUUACAUCCUCCCCCCCUUAGGAACAUUCGUCCCGAAUGUUAACAUAACUGUAUAGUCUAGGCAGGUUUGAAUUUCUGGUCACACAACUUUUAAUAACAUAACUAGUAUUCAAACACAUACCUAUUAAUGUUCCUCCUCUGUAUCUUUUGGUCCCUCCUUGUCUUCAAAUAGAUGAGGGUAUUUGGAUAUCAUUACUUCCUCCGGUUCCCACGUUAUCUCUUCUACUUGGUUGUUUCUCCAGAGUACCUUUACUGAUGCCAUUUCUUUGUUCCUUAACUUUUUAACUUGGCGAUCUAGAAUAGCAACCGGUACCUCUUCAUAAGUAAGAUCCUCUGUGACCUGUACAUCUUCUAUAGGAGUGAUACGAGAGGGGUCACCUAUGCAUUUUCGAAGCAUUGACACAUGAAACACUGGAUGAACCAUUGAAAGUUCCUGGGGUAGCUCUAAUUCAUAUGCAACUUGUCCGACCCUCUUGGUAAUCUUAUAUGGCCCUAUGUAACGUGGGCUUAGUUUCCCCUUCUUACCAAAUCUCAUAACCCCUUUCAUUGGUGAUACCUUUAAAAAUACCCAAUCUCCAAUAGAGAAUUCCAGCCCUCUUCUCCGAAUAUCUGCAUAUGAUUUAUGACGACUUUGGGCUGUUUUUAGCCGUUGUUGUAUCACCUUGACUUUUUCUAUGGCUUGAUACACAAGAUCCGGUCCGAACAUAAGAGUUUCACCCGCUUCGAACCAUCCUAUUGGUGAUCUACACUUUCUCCCAUAUAAAGCUUCAUAUGGUGCCAUUUUGAUACUUGAAUGAUAGCUAUUAUUGUAGGCAAACUCAAUAAGAGGUAAAUGAUCAUCCCAGCUGCCUUUAAAAUCUAUAACACAUGCUCGUAGCAUAUCUUCAAGUGUUUGAAUGGUGCGCUCUGCUUGUCCAUCCGUCUGAGGGUGAAAAGCUGUACUCAGAUUCACUUGUGUUCCCAAACCCCGUUGGAAAGACUUCCAAAAGUUUGCAGUAAAUUGAGUUCCCCGAUCCGAUAUAAUAGAAGUUGGCACUCCAUGUAAUCGGACUAUUUCUUUAACAUACAGCUUCGAAUAUUCUUCAACUGUGUAAGUGGUCUUAACGGGUAAGAAAUGUGCGGAUUUAGUAAGCCUAUCCACAAUCACCCAUAUAGAAUCAAAUUUUCGAGCUGUACGAGGCAAACCUGUAACAAAAUCCAUGUUGAUCAUGUCCCACUUCCAAAUUGGAAGAUCUAUGCAUUGCAUAUAGCCUCCGGGUUUUUGGUGCUCAACUUUAACUCUUUGACAAUUUGGACAUUCAGCUACAAAUUCUGCAAUGCUCUUCUUCAUGUCAUUCCACCAAUACAUAUCUUUCAAAUCUUGAUACAUUUUGGUUGAUCCUGGAUGAAUGGAAUACCUUGAAAAAUGUGCCUCUGUCAUAAUCUUCUUUCUUAGCCCGUCUAUAUCCGGCACACACAAUCGGUUUUGGCACUGAAGUACUCCUUCUCGCGUAAGCUCAAAUGCCUUGGUCGCACCACUCUGAACGUUCUCCUUAAGAUGUAAUAAAAUAGGAUCUGCAUAUUGCUUCUCUUUCACUUCAGCUACUAAUGAAGAUUCCGCAGCAUUAUGUACGAUAAGCUCUUUAUUCGGAGUUUCAAGAAGGCGAACUCCCAAACUAGCUAACUGGUGAAGAUCUUUAACCAUCCCUUGCCUUUCUAUAGGCGCCAUCAUAGCCUUACGACUUAACGCAUCAGCUACCACAUUUGCUUUCCCUGGAUGGUACAAGAUAUCAACAUCAUAGUCCUUUAAUAGUUCAAGCCAUCUCCGCUGCCUUAAAUUUAGAUCCUUCUGAUUAAAAAUAUAUUGCAAGCUCUUAUGGUCAGUAUAUAUAUCAACGUGAACCCCAUAUAAGUAGUGGCGCCAUAUCUUUAAAGCAAAAAUAACCGCUGCCAGCUCAAGAUCGUGUGUAGGAUAAUUUUUCUCAUGUGGCCGUAAUUGUCUAGAAGCAUAUGCUAUUACCUUACCAUGCUGCAUCAAUACACAUCCUAAACCAAUUCUGGAAGCAUCACAAUACACUGUAUACCCUUCGGUGCCUUCUGGUAGUACCAACACGGGUGUAGAAAUCAACUUGUUCUUUAAAUCUUGAAAACUCUUCUCACAGGCAUCAUUCCAUUGGAAUUUGGAUGCUUUAUGGGUUAGCUUGGUUAAGGGUGCUGAAAUGGAAGAAAAGUCUUUGACAAACCUUCUAUAAUAACCGGCCAACCCAAGAAAACUACGAAUCUCCGUAGGCGUUGUGGGCCUUGGCCAGUUCUUCACAGCCUCUAUCUUUUGAGCAUCAACCUUUAUCCCUUCACUAGAUACAAUAUGACCCAAAAAUGCCACCGACUUUAACCAAAACUCACAUUUAGAGAACUUUGCAUAAAGCUUACAAUCACGAAGAGUCUGCAAUGCCUGUCGUAAGUGAUUGGCAUGGUCCUCUUCUGAUCUAGAAUAAACUAGAAUAUCAUCUAUAAAAACUAUCACAAAUACAUCCAGGAAUGGCUUAAAAACCCUAUUCAUCAAAUCCAUAAAAGCUGCGGGUGCAUUUGUUAGCCCAAAUGACAUAACUAGAAACUCAUAAUGACCAUACCUUGUUCGGAAAGCUGUUUUGGGUAUAUCUUUUUCUUUGACCCUCACUUGGUGGUAACCUGACCUCAAAUCAAUCUUAGAAAAGCACUUGGCGCCCUGUAACUGAUCAAAUAAAUCAUCAAUUCUUGGGAGAGGAUAUUUAUUCUUAAUAGUCACCUUAUUCAAUUGCCGAUAAUCAAUACACAUCCUCAGCGAGCCAUCCUUUUUGCGUACAAAUAACACUGGUGCUCCCCAAGGGGAAAUACUAGGCCUAAUGAACCCCUUUUCUAGCAAAUCUUUCAAUUGCUCUUUCAAUUCUCGUAAUUCUGCUGGGGCCAUUCUAUACGGAGGAAUGGAGAUUGGUUGGGUGCCUGGUAUUACAUCAAUACCAAACUCUACUUCUCGUUCAGGAGGCAAACCUGGAAGAUCUUCAGGAAAUACAUCAGAAAAUUCAUUUACCACCGGAACAGCGUGAAGAGUUGGUGGCUCCGCUUCUGUAUCCCUUACUCUAACUAAAUGAUAUAUAUAUCCCUUGGAAAUCAUUCUUCUCGCCUUAAAAUAAGAAAUAAAUCUACCUCUUGGCACGCUAAUUUCACCUUUCCAUUCAAGGACUGAUUCAUUUGGAAAAUGGAAAUAUACCUUUUUCGUGCAGCAAUCAAUUGUGGCAUAACAAGACGCCAACCAGUCCAUACCCAUUAUAACAUCAAAAUCUACCAUUUCUAACUCCACAAGAUCAGCCAUCGUAUCACGACCACAAACAGUUACUAUGCAGUUUCGAUAAACCCUUCUAGCUAUAAUAGAUUCCCCGACCGGUGUGGACACUUCAAAUGGCUUAACUAACAGUUCGGGUAUUCUUUCGAACUUUCCAGCAACCAAUGGAGUAACAUAAGAUAAUGUAGAACCGGGAUCAAUUAAGGCAUAUAAAUUGAAUGAAAAUAUAGCCAACAUACCCGUAACCACAUCUGGAGAAGCCUCUAAAUUCUGUCGAUCUGCUAGAGCAUACGUACGAUUUUGAGCCCCGCUAGAACUCGUGGCUCCUCUAUCACCUCUAACACGACCCAUUGGCUGUGCACCCCUUCCUGAAUAAGGCAUCGAUGAUGAUGAUGCAACAAAUGACCCCGUAGGUCGUGCCAUACCCCCUAUGUCCCUUCGUGGGCAUUCCCUCAUCAUAUGCCCCGACAUACCGCACCAAAAGCAAACAUUGGUCCCCAGCCGACAUGCGCCCAAAUGAUACCUUCCACAUUUAUUGCAUGGCUCUCGAGGAGGUCUUGAUUGGCUCAUAUUCCCUUGACCUUGGUACCCCACUGUCCGCGAACUCUGACUCUCACUUCUGUGCCCAAAUUGAUUUCCUCUGAACCCUUGGAACUGUGGUGGGGCACUAGCUGUAGAAUAAGAGGAUAAUGGCCUAGGUGGUCUAGCAGAAAACUGUGGUCUGAACCCUCUUUCGAAUGCCAUGAACUGCCCUGUAGAUCUGGCCCUCUUGGAAUAUCCUCUUUCUGAUUCCUGUGUUCUUCUCCUCUGCCUCUGAUCUUCCAUUUUUUGUGCAAAAGCUUGGAUUCUCGCUAUGUCCAUAUCUUUGUUCAAAGCAGCAAUAGUACAAUCUCUAACCAGAUAUGGAUCUAGCCUAUCCACAUAUUGAUGAACUCUGUCAACCAUAGUAGCUACAACAUUAGGAGCAUAUCUCGACAAGGAAUUAAAUCGAAGACUGUACUCCCUCACGCUCAUAUUCCCCUGACGAAGAUUUAAAAACUGAUCUGCACGGGCCUGACGAAUCUCGAAUGGAAGAUAAUGAUCAAGAAAUGCCUCUUUGAACUCCUUCCAAGUAGCUGGGGGUGCAUCAAUACCCCUAGAUCGUUUCCAGUCCUCAUACCAAUAUAUAGCCUCCCCUUUAAAUCUAUACGCCGCUAACUCCACUGUCUCUCUACCCGUUACAUGCAUAACAUCCAAGGCCCUUUGAAUUUGAUCGAUAAAGUCCUGUGGGUCCUCGUUAAGAUCUGAUCCAGUAAAAGUGGGAGGAUCCAUCUUAAGAAAAUCCUGUGUUCGAAGGCUAGCCGCCCUAUCUAUACCACUAGGACCUGCAGUAGGAAUGGCUUGCCCUUGAGCUUGCCCAGCAACUAUACGAGUCAAAAGUUGCACUGCAUUUCUAAGAUCUUGAUCAACAACAUUAAUAGGUGGCUCUGCGGAUAUAGUUCUCCUCCCCCUUAUUUCUUCCGGACUGGAGGAAGUUUCUGAUGCAUGCUCAGCUGGAGCCUCACUUUGAUUAGCUGGUAUAGUGGGUGACUUACUAGUCCCCUCUCCGGCAGCCACAUCUACUUGCUUACCGGUAUUCUUGCUUCUGGUAACCGGCAUCAUUACUAUAAUAAGAGAAACAAACUGAUUCAGUGGUCAACUAUGACUUCAUAUACAAUAUAAGCUCUAUCGCACGAUCUAAGACAUGAAGAAAAGAAACAAUUCCUAAAUGUCCAUAGCCUCCUGUUUAUAGAUGUGGUGCACAACACACCGAUAAACAAGACCCUACGUAGACACGGCUUUGUAGACUCACUAGGACGAACCUCUCUGAUACCACUUUUGUCACGCCCCAAAAUCCCAUCGGGCCGGACUGGCACCCGAAGCCGAGAAGGCCCGGGAGAACCCGUUCAAAUACCUGUACUUUCACUUACAUGUCACCAAAAAAAUUGGACAGCACUUCGUUGCAUAUAGAAAGGUCUAAUUACCUGUAUCAGCACAACACGCACAAAUAUAUAUAUAUAAUACUUGGCCGUCGGGGCCACCACAUAUACAAAUAUAACGUUACUAUAUAAACUUCCAUGACUUUACCCUUCCUUAUGUCUACAAAGCCUCUAGGAUAUACAUGACAUAACUAGGGUCGGGACAAACCCCCGCCCACACGUGACUCAUGUACAAUAACAAAACAUAAGGAACCGACUCGGAAAGCUCCGAAGCAAACUGGAGCUCACCAACAAUAGCUGUAUGACCUGGCUCCUACUUGUGCGGUGUAUGAGUUGAGGUACCUGUGCCUGCAGCAUGAAAUGCAGGUCCCCCGUGAGGGACGUCAGUACGAAAUAUGUACUGAGUAUGUAAAGCUGUAAAUAAUCACAUAUGAUAUAGGAGCUCAAUAGAAAUCAGAAACAAGUGAAUAAGUCGUAAUAGGAGUGGACCACACUUACUAGAACUUGUGACAACCUGUACAUUGUAUUUAUUCAAUCACUUUACCUUCGUUCUUAUCGUCUUUGUAAUCAUUACUGUACUGUACUGUGACCAUUAGGAUGCCUCCAGUACAUAUCAACUGGGAUCGACCCAUGCUAGGCUUAUGCCCCUGGGAUACCACCCAUAAACACAUGAAAUAGGGAUCGACCCAUGCUAGGCUUAUGCCCCUGGGAUACCACCCGAUAAGAGAGAACUUUCAUCACUUAGUUCAAUUAAUCUUUGAGAUUGUUAUUUCGGUCGUCACCACAUUUUUGAUACCUUGAAACAAUGAUACAUCAAUAGGAACCAAGUAAUAGACCUUCUAUACAAUAACGAUGUAAUAAGGACUCAUUGGUACAUCAACAAUAUGUUUCAGAAUCAUCAAUAUCACAACAAUGAAAUAAGAGCCUUUUGGUAUAUCAAUGAACAUUUUGACACUUUAUAGGAUGGAAACAACUUCGUUGGUAACGUAGAACAAUACAUGUUUUUGGACAACCUCGGAAUCUUACUUGAUGGAACAUUGGUGUUUUCAUGCCAAAGAACAUUGUUAGAGUAUGCUUUACAUACCUCGUUGUAGAUUCAGCUACCAAUUCAACACAACUUCCCGCCUUUACAAAUCACUUAUCUACAAUGAAAUGUUUGGCAUCUAGUAUUAGCAACCCAACACCACAAUUCUCUUCCAUAAUUCCAUACUACCAAUAUUUGCAAAACAUUCCAAAAACCAACUUGAACAAUAGGUUUAUGUGUGUAUAUGUAUAUAAUCAUCAUCUCAAUACCACAUCAUCAAUACCACAUCAUCACCCCAAAUUCCUUCACAAUUUAACAUAAUCCAACCAUGCACAAGAAUAAUCCAACAUCAUUUCCAAUCAUCUUUCAACAACAAUCAAAUAACAUACUUCUUAUGCUCACAUGCAUAUAUAUAUAUAUAUACAUAUCCAUAUAAAUAACACCAACAUAAUUUACAUCCUUACCAAAAAAAAUGGCCCUUUUGAUUUCGAAGUCCUGUUGGCACAAAUAAGGGGUGCUUCUCGAAGCCCUUGAGACGGUGAACACAACUACGGAAUCAAUUUGGAUUUUCUACGGUUGAAUCACAAGAUAAUUGGAGUUGAACUUAGGCUAGGGUUUCUUAUUCUUCAAUGAUUUGGAUGAUAAAUGGUGGAUAUAAGGCUAAGUAUAUGUAUAUAAUGACCAAUUUUCGUCCAUGAGGUGAUGGAAAAUGACCAUAUUGCCCUUAAAAAUUUAAGUAAAUCCGAAUCUGUCCAUGGUGGACUGUUUUGAUAGGCUAAAGUAAAUCGGCCAUAACUCUUUGCUCCGAUAUCGGAUUUGGGUGAAAUUGGUAUCGUUAGAAAGAUAAUUCAAAGGUAUUUCAUUUAAUAUAAAUUAAUCCACCCAGUUCGUCCUGUACAAGUAGUUAUGAUCGUUUGAAGUUGACCCUAAAAAUCUGUUUUGAGAGGCUGAAGUAAAACGAGUAUAACUCCUUACUCAGAUGUUGGAUUUGGAUGAAACCAAUUUCAUUGGAAAGAAGACUCAAAGAUCUUUCUUUUGAUAUAUGGUAGCUCAACCAGUUCAUUAUAUUGAGGGAGUUAUGAUCGUUCAAAGUUGACCCAAAAAACUGGCAGGCCUCAGUAGUUUCCUGCACAUUUUACUGUUCACAUCCCGGCCACCGUUUUAAAGUUUCGAACGAGCUCGCUUAUAUCCGAAACUUAUCCGUUUUUGGAAAUCUUUAUAUCGUUGGAAAGCUUAUUCAAUAACCUUCGUAUGGAACCAUCGACGGGAAAAUUCCGAUAUAAAUAAAGUCGAUUCCUAUACACCUAUAAUCAAACUAUACACUUGAAACCAUCUCAAAAUAAUCAAUACUCAUACUUAAACUCAUAUAUACCUAACUUAGGAUCAAUACAUAUACCCCAACACAUAUAACAAUGACUAAUGCACGUAAUUAAGUACGGGGUGUUACAUCCUUCCCCCCUUAAGGACAUUCGUCCUCGAAUGUGAAUGUAGUUAUUUAGCCGAAACAAGUUCAAGUCCACCAUUAACAUUCACAUCAUCACAUAAAUACUAUGCAUAUAUAAACAAAAACUUACUUGUUAAUGUUCUAACUCCGUUUCUUGAACUUCCUCUUCAUCUUUGAACAAAUGAGGGUACUUAGAUUUCAUUGCUUCCUCAGCUUCCCAUGUAAUCUCUUCCCUUUACAGUCUCUAAAUAGACUUCCAUAUAGUGCCCCAAUCCAACACUUGAACACUUGAAAAAUUUUGGUAGUAAUUAAAUCAAGUCGUAUGUCAUUUUAUGUGAACAUUACUAGUACAUGUAAAAUGUGGGGUGUUACAAUCACAACUCAGAAAUCUUAAAGUUGUCAAUUGCUAAAAAAGAAAAAGGACCCAUAAAUGAAAAUCAUCAAAGAAUUGAGUCUAAACUUAAAUCAAGAAAAGAUGAAUUAGUUUAUCAAAGAGAAAAGGUUAGAAAGCUAACUCAAGAAAACUCUAGGAUAAAAAUCGAUCUUGAAAGAGCUAACCGAUGGACCAAGUCAUCUAGAAUUGUUAAUCAUCUAAGUAGUAGGACUCAAAAUGAGAGAGUUGGCAUAGGUUUUCACAAAGAAACUAUUUUCUAUAAAGAUUUAUCUUAUAUUUGUAGAAAACUAGGACACCCAACCACUGAAUAUCCUGUUCUGCCAAAAGUAGAUCCAGCAGUCUAAAUCUGGCAAAUAAACUAUCUCAGACCAAGAAAAGGAUAACUAAACCUGGUCAGAGAAACAGGUCAUGUAACCUAUUGCCUGCAUGGGCUAGAAGAAAUCUGAUUCAUCUAUUUACUCGUAAGAAAGGACCCAAGCUUGUUUGGGUGCCUUAAGUUAACCCCUAAUUUGUUUUGCAGGUGAGAGUGAAAGGAGGCAAGAAAAAUUUAUACAUAAAUAAAGCUUGCUCAAGGCAUUAGACUACAACAACAACAACAACAUUAAACCCAGUGUAUUCCCACAUAGUGAGGUCUGGGGAGAGUAAGAUAUACGCAGUCCAUCUGGAGAAGUAGCAAGGCUGUUUUCGAUAGACCCCUAACUCAAGAUAAGAUAAGUAAUCACAACCAUAAAAAAUGCAUGGAAUAAGAUGGCAAGACGUAAAAAUGCUCCUAAAAUGGAAAGUAAAUAAAUAAUAGUAGGCACUCGUAAUACAGUAUGCAAUGAGGUAGCCUAACAAGAGUAAUACACCAAACAGGUAAUGCCCUACCCUACCUACCCUAAUAGUCACUAGCCUUCUAUCCUAAUAUGCGUCCUCCAGCUCUUCCUAUCUAGGGUCAUGUCCUCAGUAAGCUGUAAUUGCUCCAUUUCCCGCCUAAUCACCUCUCUUCAAUAUUUCUUUGGCCUAGCCCUGCUCCGCUUGAAAUCAUCCAAAGCAAGCCCGUCAUACCUACAAACUAGUACAUCUUUGCCCCUCCUCAUCACGUGUCCGAACCAUCUCAAAAAGACCUCUCGUAUCUUGUCCUCCACUGAAGCCACUCUAACCCUCUCUCGAAUAGUUUCAUUCCGAACCUUAUCCCCCUAGUAAGACCACACAUCCAACGUAACAUCCGCAUUUCCGCCACCUUCAGUUUUUAAAUAUGAGAGUUGUUGACUGGCCAAUACUUUGCUUCGUCCAACUUGGCCGGUUGGACUGCCACCCUAUAAAAUUUACCUUUAAGCUUGGGCGGCACCUUCUUAUCACACAACACCCCUAAGGCGAGCUUUCACUUCAUCCAUCCUUCCCCAAUCUAGUGAGAGACAUCCUCAUCAAUCUCACCAUUCCCCUAAAUCAUGGACCCGAGGUACAUAAAACUAUCCCUCUUACACAUCACCUCAGAAACCAACCUUACUACCACCUCGUCCUGCUCCCUCGAGCCAUUAAAUUUACAUUCCAAAUAUUUUGUCUUGCUCCUACUCAACCUAAACCUUUUAGACUCAAGGGUCUAUCUCCAUACAUCUAAUUUAUGAUUCACACCUCCCUAGGUCUCGUUAAUAAAAACCAUAUCAUUCGCAAAAAUCAUACACCAGGGCGCCUCUCCUUGGAUACGCCGUGUCAACACCUCCAUAACCAAAGCAAACAAAAACGGGCUAAGAGUAGAUCCCUGAUGCAAUCCUAUCAAAACUGGGAAAUGCUCUAAAUCUCCUCCCGCCGUCCUCACUUGGAUCUUAGCUCCAUCAUAUAUGUCCUUAGUUACUUUGAUAUACGCCACCGACCCUACUCUCCUCCAAACAUCUCCAAACGACUUCCUUAGGGACUUUGUCAUAUGCCUUCUCCAAGUCGAUAAACACCAUGUAUAGGUCCUUCUUUCUUUUCCUGUACUGUUCCAGUAGUCUCCGCACUAGGUGAAUUGCCUCUAUCAUAGAAGCAAACAGGCAUAAAUCGAAGCUGGUUCUCCAAAAUAGACACUAACCUCCUCAACCUCCACUCGACCACUCUCUCCCAAAUCUUUAUUGUGUGACUCAAUAAUUUAAUACCCCUAUAGUUAUUUCAACUCUUAAAGUCACCCUUUUUAUUAUACAGAGGGAUCAUAGUUCUCUAUCUCCAGGCCUCGGGCAUUUUUGCUGACUUAAAAAUAUCAUUAAAUAGAUCCGUCAACCACCUUAAACCAGCCUCACCAGAAAACUUCCAAAAACCCACGGGGAUCUCAUCAAGUCCCAUCGCCCUACCCCUUUGCAUCCUGCGAACAUCCUCUCUAACCUUCUCUACCUUAAAACAUCUAUAAUAACUAAAAUCACGACACUCCUCUGAUUGCUCUAGCUCACUUUACUCAAUAACUCUCUCCCCUUCAUCAUUUAAGAGCCUAUGAAAAUACGACUGCCAUCUCUUCUUAAUGUGACCAUUUUCCACCAACACUCUACCAUCCUACCGCUUAAUGAACUUCACCUAGUCUAUGUCAUAGCCCUUCCUCUCUCUAUCCUUAGCCAGCCUAAACAACCUUUUCCCCCUUCUUUCUCCUCUAACCUCGCAGACAAGCUCUCAAAUGCUACCAUCUUAGCAGCCGAAACUACUAGCUUAGCCUCUUUCCUCACUAAUUUGUACUCCUCCCUAAACACCCACUUCUCUUCUUCAUCCUUACUCUUAAUCAACUUUUCAUACGCCCCCUUCUUAGUCUCCACUUUCUUCUUUACCUAUUCAUUCCACCACCAAUCACCCUGAUGGUGAUCGGCCCAGCCCCUGGACGUACCCUACACUUCACUAGCAGUCUUCUUGAUGCACCUACCCGCUCUAUCCCACAUACUAUCUAUGUCUCCCCUACACUCCCACACCCUCAUACCUGCCAAAUUCUCCCCAAUCUCACGCUCAUUCACUGGCGCCAGGCUGCCCCACUUAAUUCUCGGUCGCCCCUCUUCACCCCUACUCUUCUUACCCUUCUUUUUGCCUAAGUCUAGAACCCAUAGCCUAUGUUAGAUCGAAAGAUUAUCACUCGGAAUGACCUUAUAGUCCUUACAUAAUACCCUAUACCUUUUGUUAAGUAGCAAAAAAUCAAUUUGGGUCUUGGCUAUUGCACUUCGAAAGGUGAUCAGGUGAUCGUUCUUCUUUGGAAAUCUCAAAUUCACCAUCACCAACCCAAAGGACCUCGUAAAAUCUAGCAGAGUAGCUCCCUCCUCAUUUCUCUCCCUAAAGCUAAAACCACCAUGUACAUCACUAAAGCCUCCCAAUAAUGCCUCGAUGUACCCAUUAAAAUCCCAUACUACAACAAAAUUCUCAAAGCUAGGCAUGCCUCUUACCACCUUAUCUAAGUCCUCCCAAAACUGGAUGUUCUCCUCCCCGUUCAAGCCCACCUGCAGCGCAUAUAGAUUACACAAGUUCAGGGUAAACUCCCCAAAGACCAACUUAAUAGACAUCAGCCUAUCACUAAUCCUCUUCACCUCAACUACCUGCCCUUUAAGCUCUUCAUUUACUAAGAUGCCAACUCCAUUCCUACGCCUCUCGCUUCUAGAGUACCAAAUCUUAUAACCAUCCACAUCCCUAGCCUUAGACCCUACCCACUUAGUCUACUGGAUACACACAAUAUUGAUCUCCCUCUUCUUAAGAAUCUUCACCAACUCUAUGGACUUUCCCUGGACAGUCUCUAUAUUCCAAUACCCAACCCUCAGCCCAUCAACUCUAGCAAUACGUCUUUCUCUACCACCUUUAACACCAGACCUUGCCCCUACUCCCCCACCUGCCCUACUCACAUCCCCUACCCCCAGCCACGACCCCCUCAUUUAUAACCCUAUUCUACCAUCAACAACCAUCGCUACUACACCAAGAAAAUAAAAAUAGUAAUAAUAAAAACAACAGGAAGUAUAACGGAAUGAUAGGAAAAACAAGGAACAUGCAAAGUAGAUGGAAUAAGCAAGCAAGCAAACAGUCAAGCAAGCAAGCAACAGUCAAUUCCACAAAUUAAAUGAAUUCAAGAUAUGAAAGGCUCAGGAAAAGUAGAAAGAACAGAAUAAUACAAAGAAACUAAAUUGCCGGACGUAAAUAGAAUAUAGGAAUUAACUAAAAGUCGAAGUAACUAAGAAAACAACAAAAAAUAAAAAUAUUAUAAAUACAAAGAAUAAAAACAGUAAAAAUAAUGUAAAGGAAUCGAAAAAAAAUUAUAAAGAAAGUAUAAUAUCAAGAAACUAAAAUAGUAAAGCUCAGAUAUCACCGGAGUACUCCUGCUUAUGCUGGUCACGACAAUUUUGUUGUCAAAAAUUGGUCGCCGGAGUAAGGUCACCGGAAAUAGUCUGGCUGUGCGUCUCCGGAAUAUCACCUGGGAUUUCUCUCAAUGUUGCCAUGAGCUGGUCUCCCAUGGAUGUCUUACCUCCUGUAUUAAAUUAGUUCAGACUGAUUUUCACCAUUUCACCAUCGCCGGAGUCAAACCAGCAGAAACCCUAGCUCUGCCAGAGAUAAUAGAGGCGCGAUAAAAAAAUAAACUGUAGAGGGUAGGGGACUUGGAGGGAGGAGAAAGAGAGAAAGAGAGAGAGAAGAAGAAUGAGGGAGGGAGGGGGUGUGGGUUCACCUAUUUUUGGCGCUUCUACGCCGUUGCCGGCGUCAUCCGGUCAGACAGUGACCGUUGAAAGUAAAAAGGAACGUUAAGAGAAGUUCAAGUCAGUUUCCAGUAAGUAGAGGUUUGUGGAAAGACUUGAUGGACAUAUAUUUUGUAGAAGUUCAAGGCAUAAGACUAGAAGAAAAUAAAUUUUCUUUCACUCACCACAUUUAAAGAGGGAAUGGAUCACUUAAAAGAUGGCCAGAUUUGUAGAGCUCGAGUAAGGAGGAAGUAAGGGAGAUCUAAAAAAAUUAUCUAGUCCUUGAACCUCGUUUGUAUGAAUAUUUGUGGACUAAUGUAAGAAGAAGAGAAGUUAAAAGGAUGAUGGUGAAACUGUUGAGUAUGCACAGAAACAUGUUGUACCACCUAUUUCAUGACUGAGGGCAUAUCGACUGGGGGAACAACAAAUCAAUGACUUGAGAAUAUUGUAUUAAAAUGAAAGUAAUUUCACUCUUGAAAGCUAUAAAAAUGUUGACUAUGUGGGUUACUUAAAUGACUAGAGAAGCACCAAAGGCACUAAGUAGAGAGCAUUUUGAAAGGAAUAGGUUAGAUUUGGGGAUGAUUAAAAUUGUAUGAACUCUUCUCAAUGAUUGACUAGAAUGACCAUUUUCUUUUAAAUCUUAUUUGCUAAAAUGUUAUUUGAUUCUGUCUUGCACAUUCAAUUGUGUGUCCCAAUUCUAGAUUUUUGACUCUUCUAACCUAAUUUUGUAUUAGAUUAUGCAGAAAAUAGGUACAACCAAGAAAUUAUAACCACAAAUUUCUUCUUAUUAGGUAUGUUGUACACUGAUAUAAGCAUAGGUUGUCUAAUUUGAAAUACUUGAGCACACCUGUUCCAUUCCUCACACUUCAUUCUCCCCUUGUCCUAUGAUGUUGACUAAUUGGUUGACUGAAUUUUCUUUGCCUCUCUCCAAGUGGUUGUGCACAAAAGUGUUAAUUCUACACCAGAAAUUCCUUCUUCUUUCCCAACAAAAAUAUCAAUUUUUGUAUCAUGAAUAUUCCAAACCUGAUCAUCAAUCGCAUACAACAUAUGUUUUUGAAGAAUGAAAAGGGGCAUUCUCUUUUCUUUAGUUCCUAAUUGGCUACUUUCUUAGGGAUGUCUCAGUCGUAAUUUAGGUUUGACUUAAAAAAACAAUGGAUGUUCUUGAGCAAAUAAAUUGUGCUACUAUACCUGUUUUAAUAAGGAGGGCUAACAAUCAUUUCAUAAAAAAAUUAAUAAUAAAGAAAUGAUUUAGCUGAAAAAGAUCUAAACAAGAAGUUGCAUAAGACAGCCAUUAAGUGGAAUGAGAGGUCCUUAAAGCUAGGAUGAUGACUUUCAAGCUUGAACUUAAUUGAUAGAGGAAUGAAAAUGCUAAACUCAUUCAUUAAUUGACACAGUUGAUAUCACAUCUUCCACCUUUCUCAUCAACUUCUCACUAUUUGUAUCCUUAUCUAUGUCCCACUUUUAUACUGUAUUCUGUUUUGAUUAAUGCUCAGUUGUUUUGCUUUUUUCAGUACUAGAUUAGGUUUAAUGUAGAACAUGUUCUGUCAGUUAAAUGGAAUGGUUAUCUUUGCUAAGUUGAAUCAUAUUUUUGCUCUGUUUAAUACAUUACUAUAUUGGCUAAAGUCUUUGUCUGAUUGUUUUGGUGAUAGCCCCAGCGGCCAUGAAUAGCAUAACAAAUCACAUUGGCUAGUAUAUUAUUGCAUUGAAAUGGUUUUCGAUGAUGCCAAAAGGGGGAAUAUAAGAGGGUUGUGCAAUGUUUAUAACCUAUUGACUAACUUAUUUUAUUCUAGUGUUUUAUACUUUAGUGCCUACAGGUGAAGAUAUUUUAAUACACAAAUACAUGAGGUUUGUCAUCAUCAGAAAAGGGGAAUUUGUUGGAACCUUGAAAUUUUGAUGAAUGACAAUAUGUAUGAAAGAAGUCGAUAUACUUUUUCCACUGAUCCGACAAGUUCAAGAGUGAAGUCUAUGAUACAAAUAAUUAAAAAUUAGAAUGAGUUAAUUAGGUGCAACUAAAACUGUAACUUAUUGAUCACAUGAGGAAUAGAACAGGUUGAAUUUGAUUCAAACACUUGAUGAUAAGGGAAAACAAGUUGAGUUAAAAAAGGAGUCCUAUGUGAAGAAGGAGUUUCACUUAUGAGCAUAUCCGUAAGAGACGUAUGUGUGGAAGGAGAAAGAUUCUUAAAAUUGAAGAAGUCUAUGCAAAACAUACAAUUUGAAGGACUCUUUGGAGAGUUAGAGUUUGACUAAAACACUAAGGAGACAAGAGUUGGAAUUGAAGGAGUCUCACUUGAAAUAGAACUCUAUGCAAUUAGAGUUCUGAUUUAAGGGGGCGUUUGAAAUACAGAAUGACUUUGAAGAGUUGUUCUUAAAUAGAAGAUGCAUCACAAUAAACUAUGCACUUACAAAUAGAAAAGCACAAUCGACAUAUUGACUUCAUGAAGACCUACUCAAUCACUGAAGAAACACAUUGAAGAAGUUGGUCUUAAGUAUAGAAUCCAGCUAAGAGUUUUAGUGUUUAUUUUUAGAGUUGUUCAUUGUGUAUGAACUAUUGAUGUAAUAUUAGUGUCAGUGAGUUAUAAAUUAAACUAAGAGCUAGUCUUCGAGUUGGGGAAAACUCAGAUACUUUAGGAACGCAUACCUUGGGAGGCUUAUGUGUAGUUUGAAAUUAGAGUUUAUAGAUCCUAUUCGUUGUGUUAAAGGAAUUAGAGUUUAUAAUUCAUAUUUUUUGGUAACAAGUGUUUUUUAAUCAGUCAUUUUUUAGGCUCAGAGUUAUUUAGUAAAGUUGGGGUUAAAUUUUGUAGAGCUGCAGUUCGUGGUUUUUUACACCUUUUUGAGCCGGGUGUUUUCCACGUAAGAAUCAUUGUGUUCUUUACUUACUAUUUUACUGCUUUCCCAGAACAUGUCAGGCAACCCAUUCCAUCCAUAGGUAACUCUUACGUUAAAGUCACUAAUCAGUAGUGCACUUACUCUAAUAGCAUUGAACGAUAUUUGUGAAAGCUUUAAGAGGUAAGUUUUCUAAUUCUCAUUUUGAUUAUGUUAUCUAGAUUAUAUGUAAGUUAUUGAUUCUAUAGAAUUAUUGCUUCCAUUGUGCAUGUUCUAACAUUUGGUAUCAAUAGUCUUCUUACAUAUGCUAGAUAAUGUAAAAGAAAUUUCAUGAUUUAUUGUACAUAUUUUGGAUAAUAAUUGUAUAAAUCAUGUUGUUGCUGGCUGUUUUUCAUGUUUUUGAAAUCAUGUUGUUGUUGGCUAUUUUUCAUGUUUUUGAUGAUGUUAUUGAUUCCAACAGAAUUUAUCUUUAUCAUCAGGAAAGCAUAAAAAGAAUUUUGCAUAGUUUUGUGAAAAUUUAUUUUGUAGAUGAAGUGCAAAACAUGAUGAGUCUCGACUACAACCAACUAUAGUCGUUACUCACUGUAUGAACAGUAGCAGUAAGGCUAAGUAGUGCAGGAAGCCCUGCUGUCCCUCGCAGCAGCUCAGCCAAUAAUUUCUAAUUUGGUCGGUUUUGAAGUUUUUUGGUUUUUUGACAAACUUCGAAUGACCUGAAAUUUGGUACGUUUAUUGAAAAGGACCCACUAAACAAUAAUCAUAGAAAUCUAUGAACCAAACCAAUUAUUUGCCAUUCAGGGUCGUUUUGAUCAGUUUUUGGCCAUUUUUAUGUUUUCGAAAAAAUUUAAAAUUCAGAAAAAAUUAUUUUUUGCAAACCAGUGGUGAUAGUGAUCAUUCCUUAUGAUUUCUAGUGGUUAAUAACUGUACAUAAUGAUAGUUUACAUGUUUACAUUGGUCAUCUUCCCCACAGAUAAACUUGUAUAUUGUAAUACUGUUUUAUAGUCUCUUAUUUUUGAUGACUUGUAUUAACUUUCUCACUAAGUUAUAUGUUGGUUCAAUGGUACAGACACUUAUGAAAUGUGAUAUUUAUCUAACAUAAAUCAACAGUUGACUCUCCAACUGAGUUGGUUCUAUUUUAUUUAAGAGAUGAAAUAUCUGACAUUACAGGUAUAUUUGCUUAAAUGGUUAAGUUUCCCUAACGAUUCUAACUAUUUAUGUGCAUGGUUAUAUGUGUGAUGUGUUUUUUAAGAAUUUUAUUAUUAUAUAGCAUGUAUAAUGAUCUAUUUUAAUUUGAUUAUAUAACAGAUUAACCAUGUCUUCAUUCAAUCCCUUAACUUUUAUCCUGAAUCAAAAUAAAUUAGAAGGCCCUAACUAUGUGGACUGGAAGCGUAAUUUGAAUAUUGUUCUUACUGCUGAGGGCAUUAAAUUUGUGAUGGUUGAGGAAUGUCCAGUUAAGUCAGAAGAACCCACUGAUGAUGAGAUUAAAGCCUACAAUAAUUAGGUCAAGGCUGAUGAGAUGGCAAGAUACUACAUUCUUGCCUCUAUGGCAAAUAUGUUACAGCAUCAACAUCUGUCCAUGACUACUGCCUAUGAUAUGCUUGAAUAUCUCAAAGAGAUGUUCGGAGAGAAAAAUCGUGCUGCAAACUAGAUGGACAUGAAACCUCUCUUUACCACAAAAAUGAUUAAAGGAACUUUGGUAAGGGAAUAUGUUGUUAAAAUGAUGAUUCUAUUGAACCAGCUAAAAAUUCUUGGUGCGGUUAUUGAUAAGGAGUCUCGAGUUGAGAUGUCCCUACAGACUCUGCCAGCCAGUUUUCAGUAGUUUUCUUGAAUUAUAACAUGAAUAAGAUGGACUUAUCUCUUGCGAAACUGUUGAAUAAGCUGCAAGCGGUAGAAUCUAUAAUUAAGCAACAAGCUCCUCCUGCGGCGUUGAUGGUUGACAAAACUUCAUCUUCGACUUCUAAGCCAAAAGGAGAAAAAAAAGAAAAAAAGCCUCAUAAGCUUUCAGGUGCUAAUGGUGGUGCGGCUAAGACUAAGGGAAAAUGUAAUCAUUGCAAGAAACCUGGUCAUUAUAAGAAACAGUGUCCCGGCUACAUAGCUAAGAUGCAGAAACAAGGUACAUCUUUUUCAUAUAUCGUUGAAAUAUUUUUAGCAGCUGUUUCUACACAAUUUUGGGCUAUUGAUUCGGGAGCCACUAAUCAUAUCUGCACAUCCUUGUAGGGGUUUCAGGAAACACGACGCCUAAGUGAAAAUAAACUGAACGGUUUCAAGCAAAUGGGGAACCAGCACCAGCCUUAGCUAUAGGAAAUAUUUCUAUUUUGUUUAGUAGUUCUAGAGUUUUAAAACUGAAUAAUGUUCUUUAUGUACCUUCUAUAAGAAGGAAUUUGCUUUCAGUUUCAAGUAUAAUAGAUGUUGGUUCUAAUAUUUAUUUUGCUAAUAAUUGUACAAUUAUUAAGUUUGAUAAGCAUUUUAUUAUUUCUGCUCCUAGAAUACAUGAUUUGUUUGUAUUUGAUGUUUCCCAUGAUAUGCUACAGAAAAAUGGAAAUUAAUCAUAUUGAUCAAUAUAUAAAUAAAACGUAUUUCAGAAUUGAGUGAAACAUACUUAUGACACUUCCGUCUAGGUCAUAUUAACUUCCAUAGGAUCUCACGGUUGGUUUCUGAUGGACCUUUGAGUUCAUUGAAAGUGGAAGCACUUGUAACUUGUGAAUCCUGUUUAGAAGGUGAAAUGGACAAGAGACAUUUUCCUUUCAAAGGAAAUAGAGUUGGUAAUAAGUUAGAAUUAAUUUAUACUGAUUUGUGUGGUCCAAUGAAUAUAUAAGUAAGAGAUGAUUUUGAGUAUUUUGUGACUUUCACAGAUAAUUACUCAAAUUAUGGAUACAUUUAUUUGCUGCGUCGUAAAUUUGAAUGCUUUGAAAAAUUUAAAGAAUUUAAGAUGAAAACGAAAAAGCGACAUAACAAACAUAUCCAUACAUUAGGAUCUGAUCGUGGUGGUGAAUACCUUUUUAUGAAAUUCAUUAAAUACUUAUCAGAAUUAGAAAUUACAUCUCACUAUUAUACUUCGGGAACACCACAACAAAAUGGUGUGGCAGAACGCCGAAAUAAAACUCUUAUGAAAAUGGUUAGAUCAAUGUUAAAUUAUUAAGAUUUACCCUUCUCUUUUUGGGGUUAUGCAUUAGAACUGUAAAUUAUAUUCUGAACUUGGUUCCUUCAAAAUUAGUACCUUUAACCUCAUCUGAAUUAUGGAGUGGGCCCAACCCUAGCCUAUGACAUAUACGGGUUUGGGGUUUUCCAGCACAUGUGCUUAAAGGAAAAACUGAUAAGUUGGAAUCUAGGAUAGAAGUGUGCAUUUUUAUUGGAUAUCCAAAAGGAACAAAAAGGGGUUUAUUUUAUUAUCCUAAGGAACAGAAGGUAAUUGUUUCGACAAAUGCUAGAUUUCUUGAAGAGGAUUAUUUAAUGAACCACGUUCCUAGAAGUAAAAUUGUUUUACAAGAAUUGAGCAAUAGAAUAACGAAUAAUGAAAUACAAGAACAAAUUCCAAAAAUCAUUAUGGACAUACCACUACAUCCACGUAGUGGGAGAAAUAUCAAUAGACAUGAGGUUGCACAAGAGCACACACUUGACAUUACACUACCUCAAAGUAAUGGGAGUAACAUCGAGUAGCCUGCAAUUGUGGAAGAAAACAUUCUGGAUAAUGUCGAAGAACCUAUCAUAGUACUGGAAGAUAUUGAGGGUGUUCAAAAUUUAGUUCUAAAUGUAGCAGAUACUGUAGUGACUAGUCAUCAUAGUGGGAGAAUUAUUAGGAAACCUUUACAGUUUUCACUGUUGGGAGAAUCGUAUGAUAGAAUACCUGGGGAGCCUAAUACGGAACCUCUUAACUACUCUGAAGCACUACAUGAUAAAGAUGCUAAAUGUAGAUUGCUGCUAUGAAAUCUGAAAUGGAGUCUAUGUAUUCCAAUCAGGUCUGUUAACUUGUAGAACCACUAACGAGAGUCAGAGCCAUUGCAUGUAGAUAGAUCUAUAAGAAAAAAAGAGGUGUGGAUGGAAAAGUGCAAGAUUUUAAGGUUAUGCUUGUUGCGAAAGGGUUUACUCAAAAAAAAGAAUUGAUUAUGAGAAAACCUUUUCACCGGUAGUUAUGCUUAAAUCCAUCAGGAUUCUCUUAUCCAUUGCUGCUCAUUAUGACGAAAAGAUUGGCAGAUGGAUGUCAAGAUGUCUUUCCUAAAUGAAAGUCUUGACGAGUGCAUUUAUAUGGCACAACCAAAAGGUUUCACGGAAAGUGGUAAUGAACAUAAGUUUUGUAAACUUAAAAAAUUCAUUUAUGGUUUGAAACAAGAAUCUAGAGCAUGGAAUACUUGUUUUGAUAAUUCAAUUAAGACUUUUGGUUUUAAUCAAUGUGAAAAUGGGUCAUGUGUUUAUAAAAAACGGGAUAGAGACAAAGUAGCAUUUUUUAUUCUAUACGUAGAUGACAUUUUGCUCAUAGAAAAUAAUGUGAGCAUGUUGAAUUCUGUUAAGGAGUGGUUGUCCUCGCAUUUUGAUAUGAAAUACUUGAGAUAAGCAGCUCAUAUCCUUGGUAUCAAGCUUAUGUGAGAUCGUAAAUAAAGGAUAUUAGGCUUAUCUCAAGCACUUUAUAUUGAUACUAUUCUUGCAAGAUUUAGCAUGAAAAAUUCUAAAAAGGCAUUCCUUCCUUUUAGGCAUGGAAUUACUCUAGACUGAUGAGAUAGAGAGAAUGAAGGCGGUCCCUUAUGCUUCUGCUGUAGGGAGCCUCAUGUAUGCUAUGUUGUGUAAUAGACCAGAUAUCUGCUUUGCUAUUGGCAUAGUUAGCAGAUUUCAGUCUAAUCCCCAAGAAGAACAUUGGACUAUGGUUAAGCAUAUAAUUAAUUACCUUAAAAGGACUAGGGAUUACAUUCUUGUUUUUCACUUUGGAGAUCUUGUACCUAUUGGGUAUACUGAUUCAGAUUUUCAGUCGGAUAAAGAUUCUAGAAAAUCUACCCCAGGAUAUGUGUUUACUUUAGGAGGUGGAGCCAUUGUUUAGAGAAGUAUCAAGCAAUCAUGUGUUGCUGAUUCCACCAUGGAAGCCGAAUAUGUAGCUGUCUCUGAGGCACCUAAAGAGGUUGUUUUGCUCGGUAACUUUCUAAAAGAGCUUGGAGUUGUUCCUUCUGUUCAAAUACCACUAGCACUUUAUUGUGACAAUAGUUGUGCAGUUGCAAACUCGAAAGAACCACGAAGCCAUAUAAGAAGUAAGCAUAUUGAGAGAAAAUAUCACUUGAUUUGGGAUAUAACUCAAAGGGGUGAAGUGAGAGUUUUGAAGAUUGAGUCAAAGAACAAUUUGGAGGACCAAUUUACAAAGGGCUUAACUCAAAAGGUUUUUGAUACGCAUGUGGAAGAAAUGGGUGUUAAAGUUGUGCAGUCAUGGUUAUGAGUCUAUGUGGGAGAUUGUUAGGAUGUACUAUUAACCAUGUAAUUUGUGUUAUAGUAUUAUAUUUUAAUCUCAUGCAAAUACUAUUUAUUAUAUUAAUAAAUUCUUUAUUUGAAUAGAUCAUUGUGUUAACAUGUGUGACCUUUGCUUAUAUACUAGAUAAUUUUAUGUAUGGAUUAUUUUAACUCAUGUACGGAAGAUUAAAAUUGUCGGUUCUUAUAAAUAAUAAAUUAGCGUUCACAAUCAAAGAUGAGGUAGGACAAACAUCUUGAUGAUUGUAGUACAAGAUUAAAUAUAAUUUGAUCUUAAUUAGGGGAGUGGUAAUAUUCCACCUUCUUAUUCUAGUACAUUUCGUAUGUAUUGAAUGGACCAAUUAGAUAUAUUCGUUUAUGUUCUGAAUAUUAAUAAACGAUUUCUCUAGACCAUUACAUGUACUUAUACUCUUAAUCUUGAUAUAAUUAUUAUGAUCUAUGUGGUUUGUUUUGUAGUUUUAAUCUAUUAAAAGGUGAGACUCUUUUAUGAAUCAACAUAUUCCAGAUAGGUUCGAUGGUGAUGAAUCACUUAGUGAAAUAUUAAUUAGUUGAUAGAACCAUGUCUCGAACUUGAGAUAGAAGACACCCCUUUAUGGUCGCUUAUAAGUUUUCACAUGAAAACCCUACAGGUGGAUUUUGUAUCUGUCAUGUGAAAUAAGUUAAGUAUUAUAAAUAAAUGAUUAAAUUAAUUAAUGAGUUAAAUUUUUUAGAGAAUUUAAUUUAAUUGAUUGGUGUCGGUAAUUCUAACACGGGGAGUUAAAUAAGAUGUAAUGGUAGAUUUUAAAUUUAAAUCGAGGAGUACAAUUACAGAUUUUUAGUGGAAUAAUUUAUAAUUUAUUAUGAUAUGAUCAUUCUUUCAUCACCGAAUUAAUAUCAUAAUUGGAAGCCUCUCUUAAUAAAUCUGCGGUCCCUGCUAUACCUGAUUAACUAAUCAAUUUUGGAAAAGAAAAAGGAACUUACUAGAAGAAGUAAUAUUAUUUACUGGUCUUCUGGAAGGAAAUAAUAUCUUCUGACUUUAAAUGGUUGAAAACGUUUUGGACUACUAAAGAGACCUAAAACGUUUUGGACAACUAAAGAGGCCUAAAACGUUUUGGACAACUAAAGAGGCCUAAAAUCGUUUGCCACGUGUUUUUCCCUUAUUUAUGAGAAAAUAAGAACAAAUAGGGUUGAGGGUUCAGAAGAUAAAGUAAAUUCCAUCUUUUCUUUGAGUCCCAAAAGACUAUCCCACACAAGUUUGAUAAGCAAAGGUUAAGUCAGGCAGUAGUAGAAGACUGCAGAACUGAAGACCAAGGCAUUGAACGAUAUUUGUGAAAGCUUCAAGAGGUAAGUUUUCUAAUUCUCAUUUUGAUUAUAUUUUCUAGAUUAUAUGUAAAUUAUUGAUCCUGUAGAAUUAUUGAUUUCGCUGUGCAUGUUCUAACAAUGGAUGUCAUAAUAAAUAAACUGGAAAUGCUUUAGUUUCCAAGACUUUUCGAGCCUUGAUCAUGCUGAAUUAAAACUUGUCGAGACCUUGUAAAUGAAUGGAAAAAUAUAGAAAGAGCUAAAUCAGCAAUUGUGAUGUGCAAACACCCCGAUGGACAUUACAAUUAUCCCAUAAUAGGAAGCCAAUCACACUAAAAAAUUACUUGAGAAAUCAUACAACUCACUCAAGUUAAAUGUAAGUCGCAAGAACACAUAAUCUUAGAAUAAUAAAAUAAUUUGUUUCACAUCUUUAUAUCCAAAACCGAUAAACUGUUACCAAAGCCAACUGUAGCGUAAUUAAGAUGGGAAAGGAUUUGCUCUUAUGUAUGUUCACAAAACAACUUCCGACCCACAUCGAAACAUAAAAAAUGAAAGAAACUUAAAACCGGGAAUGACAAACAGGUAUACACACAUAUCCACAUAACCAUAUAUUGUCACACAGAACAUCCUUUUGGAAUCAAAAUUACAGUUUUAUCCACAAGACCAAAAACAAAAACAACACACACUCGAAAUCAAGGUGUCCCAUGUUCGUAGAAUCACAAUACAUGAACGAAAAGGAAAAGAAAACAAAAGUUGACGGAUUUACACCUUUUUCGGAGCAACGAACUAGGGGCUCCUCGUCGAGAAUCCAAACUAGGACUUGCGCUUGAACGCGAAAACAAGGAUGAAACUAGCCGAAGUACUAGUGUGAACUUGUUUGUGCUAAUUUGAUAACUUCUUUUUAGUAAUUCCUGCGUGAAAAAAAGAGAGCUCAAAAGCUCAUUUUAAAUCCAAAUUUGAGGGGUUGUUUUUCAACUUGUUGGACAAAAAUCUUGAAUUCAAAAUUUAAAACCUUGAGAAUCUCAAUUGCAGAAAAUGAACUACAAAGGUUGAAUUUUCACCCGUUUUUGAGAUUGAUGUGAAUGGGGGAAGUGGCUAUUGUGAGGUUUCAAGUUCAAAACCCAAAGAAUUAAAGAGGUAACAAUCCCAAAUCUUGCAAUCUUCCAUGCUCUUCAUCUUUACAGUGGUAGCAGUGGCGGUAGUCAUCUUUUAGUGUCUGAUUUGAUUAGGAAAAGUUGUUGAAAUCAUGUUAACUUGGUGAGGGAACUAUAGGAUUUAUUGAAAAAUGGAGAAGGCAGCUGAAAACCACCAGAAUCCACCAUUAUUCGGUGGUCUGGAGGCCGAAAGGGGAGGAAAACAUCUAUUUUUUGGUUGAG
rnacentral:lncRNA from 1 species